GGCCCUCAAGUCGGUGUCAUGCCGGCCACACACCACCAAGAGUCGCUUCAGCACCCUCUGGUGGGCAUGCACGGCUAAAAACACGGGGUUUGUCAACAGAAGCACAUGGCCAACGCAAACGGCUUCAACGAGGCACGGCUGGCAGCCAAUCAUCGCCACCCACAUCGCAUCAGACCUCGUUUGUCCAAGCACAAAAGGAGCAGCGCCGUCGAGGAGAUGUGAGUUCUGGAUUUUCUAACCCUCACUCCCAUAUCCGUUUUCCACAGAAGGCGCCUAAACAAAAGACGACCCACGGACGACUGGAGCCCCGACUGGCCGAAGCUGGCGUACAGUGGUGACCUCCAGCCUCCCUUCCUCUCCACAGUGCCCCAGGACCGAGGCGUUCAGGUGGCGUGACUGACGUGCCCUGUCUGCAAUCCUCCCUUUCAGUAAGCCCCAGGACCGAGGCGUUGAGGUGGCGUGAAUUCGGCGUGCCCUGUCUGCAAUCCUGCCUUUCAGUAAGCCCCAGGACCGAGGUG